UACGUAGGGUGCAAGCGUUGUCCGGAAUUAUUGGGCGUAAAGGGCUCGUAGGCGGUCCAUCGCGUCGGGAGUGAAAAGCUGGGGCUCAACCCCAGUCCUGCUUCCGAUACGGGUGGACUAGAGGUAUGCAGGGGAGAACGGAAUUCCUGGUGUAGCGGUGAAAUGCGCAGAUAUCAGGAGGAACACCGGUGGCGAAGGCGGUUCUCUGGACAGUUCCUGACACUGAGACACGAAGGCCAGGGGAGCAAACGGG
rnacentral:rRNA from 1 species